GAUGAACGCUAGCGGGAGGCCUAACACAUGCAAGCCGAGCGGUAUUUGUUCUUCGGAACAGAGAGAGCGGCGCACGGGUGCGGAACACGUGUGCAACCUGCCUUUAUCUGGGGGAUAGCCUUUCGAAAGGAAGAUUAACACCCCAUAAUAUAUUGAGUGGCAUCAUUUGAUAUUGAAAACUCCGGCGGAUAGAGAUGGGCACGCGCAAGAUUAGAUAGUUGGUGAGGUAACGGCUCACCAAGUCAAUGAUCUUUAGGGGGCCUGAGAGGGUGAUCCCCCACACUGGUACUGAGACACGGACCAGACUCCUACGGGAGGCAGCAGUGAGGAAUAUUGGACAAUGGGUUAGCGCCUGAUCCAGCCAUCCCGCGUGAAGGACGACGGCCCUAUGGGUUGUAAACUUCUUUUGUAUAGGGAUAAACCUACUCUCGUGAGAGUAGCUGAAGGUACUAUACGAAUAAGCACCGGCUAACUCCGUG
rnacentral:rRNA from 1 species